CGGGGUGUGGCUCAGUUGGCUAGAGCACCGCGUUUGGGACGCGGGGGUCGUCGGUUCGAGUCCGACCACCCCGA
rnacentral:tRNA from 1 species